rnacentral:rRNA from 1 species
UGGGGAAUAUUGGACAAUGGGCGAAAGCCUGAUCCAGCCAUGCCGCGUGGGUGAAGAAGGUCUUCGGAUUGUAAAGCACUUUAAGUUGGGAGGAAGGGCAGUAAGCGAAUACCUUGCUGUUUUGACGUUACCGACAGAAUAAGCACCGGCUAACUCUGUGCCAGCAGCCGCGGUAAUAAAGAGGGUGCAAGCGUUAAUCGGAAUUACUGGGCGUAAAGCGCGCGUAGGUGGUUCGUUAAGUUGAAUGUGAAAGCCCCGGGCUCAACCUGGGAACUGCAUCCAAAACUAGCGAGCUAGAGUAGGGCAGAGGGUGGUGGAAUUUCCUGUGUAGCGGUGAAAUGCGUAGAUAUAGGAAGGAACACCAGUGGCGAAGGCGACCACCUGGGCUCAUACUGACACUGAGGUGCGAAAGCGUGGGGAGCAAACAGG